rnacentral:rRNA from 1 species
UACGUAGGGUGCAAGCGUUGUCCGGAAUUAUUGGGCGUAAAGAGCUCGUAGGCGGUUUGUCGCGUCUGCUGUGAAAACGCGAGGCUCAACCUCGCGCCUGCAGUGGGUACGGGCAGACUUGAGGAGGGUAGAGGAGAGUGGAAUUCCCGGUGUAGUGGUGAUAUGCGUAGAUAUCGGGAGGAACACCAGUGGCGAAGGCGGCUCUCUGGGCCCUACCUGACGCUGAGACGCGAAAGCGUGGGGAGCGAACCGG